rnacentral:lncRNA from 1 species
CAGGGCUCCAGGGCUGAGCCAGGCACCAUCCAGAGCUGCUCGUGGAGCCCGUUAGCUCCUCACAGGAGUCAGACGUAUCCUAAGGAGCCAUAAAAGAGGAAUCCUGCCCAGGAGCCAGCAUGGAGCAGAAGAUCAGCUCUUUCUUUAAUUCCAUCUUGGAACUCGUCCGCACCAAGCACAAGGAGGGCGUCUUCAACACCGUCUGCCUCGCGGUGCUGCUGGGCCUGCCCUUCGUCGUCCUCAUCGCGUCCAUCUUCAUCUGCUGCCACUGCUGCAUCUCCCACUGGAGGAGACAGAGCAGGAAGAGGGACAGCCCCAGCAGCAACGGGCAGCUGCAGGCUGAGAGGAACAAGAAAAAGAAGAAGAAGAAGAAGGAUGAGGAGGACCUGUGGAUCUCAGCUCAGCCCAAGCUGCUCUUGCUGGACAAGAGGCCGUCUCUGCCUAUCUAGCAGCCAACUCUGAUGUCUUCAGUCCUUCCAGCUGUGCUACAAGGAGAUGCCCAAACUGCUGCCACUUUCUGGUGACUUCGAAAAGAGGCUGAGCCCACCAGUGGGGUAUCAGAGGGCCGGCACAGAGCAAGGCCUGUAGACAUGGGUUUAUGGCCCCCCACCAAGGUGAAACCCUCUGCAAAGGACAUAACAGACUGCUGAGCCACCAUGGGGCCACGCUCACUCUCACCUUGGAGACACAAGGCAAGCCGAGUGCAGCAUUACAGUACAGUGCAGACAUCCUGGCCCUCCAGCCCCCAAACCAAAAGCAAUACGAGUUUCGCAGGAUGCACUCAGCCCAACCUCAGAAACCUCAAGUCCCAGCCUAAGGCAGCAAAGCAGAAGGCCAUGCUGCCUCUCAGCCCAGAGGCAGGAAGGAGCCAGGAAGUUGCACGACCAGCCCUUUUAAACCAGCACCUAAAAAGUCUUCCUUAAAAGACUUCUUUUGUACAGACUUGCUUUUAAAGAGCCCCCCAUACUGCAGCAAAGGCUGCAUCACCUCUAUGCUACUGCAAGAGCAAAGACGUAAGCUGACGCUGUGUAACAGCUUAGCUAUGGCCAUUAGUGUUAUUUAUUGAAUGACUACUAAAGAGCAGGACCAAAGGCCCCUCUUCUACAGGGCUUGGCACACUGAAUUGCUAUUGGAGCAACAGACACUUUCCCAGCACAGUCCCUGUGCCACACGUGGGGGCAUGCAGAGACCCACAAGCACGCACCACUGCUGCAUGGCCAUCAGCACAGCUGGAUCUGGGACCGGACCCUGCAUUCAUCUCCCUCUCCAUCACCCUCAUCUCUCUUCCUGGCAAAGCCACCAACUCCUGGCAGUUCCUCGUGCCACCCAUCCUGGUUUGUGCAACUCCAGCAGGGUGGUGAUGCUAACAUCACGUCACGGGGCUUGGCUCCGUCUGGCUGCACCGGUGACAGCCUCAAGGCUCCUCACCACACAGGGCUUUAAAUUGCCCCCAUAUGUGCCUUAUUUUCCAGUUUACUUUGCGACCAUUGAAAUAAGCAACUCCCUCCUCCUCCAAAACAGGAAGCGACAUAUAACAGUAGAAAACUUUCAGGCUUUGCCACACGUCCCCCACCCAGGUACUCCUCCCCAGUUUUGGCCAAACCAUGCACUGAACCACUGCAUCUCGAGGCAAAAGCAAGAGAGAUGUGCCUGUUAUGGGGGUGACAGCCAUCUGAGCACAGAGGCAAGAGCAGCAUGGUACGGAAACACGGCUGCGCUCCCCCCUGCACUGCCUCCCCACAACUGCACUUCAGGAUCAGCCUUUUCCUAAAGAGCCCAUGCAACAGGAGAAAAAGAAACGAACAUUUUUCUAGCUUUUUUUUUGUUGUUGUUGUUUGUAUAAAAAUAAAUGACUCUAAAACUGCA